CACGUUAGCUUUGAUAACUUAGUAAGGUUGGUGAACUAUUUCUGGAGUUUAGUUGCGGUCAAAUGUUUAGUGGCAGCUUUCACUAAGUGGCUUUGAAUGCACCACCACGCACAGCGCAACUAAUUUCGGAAACAUACUGGACCAACCUUGCAGGCUCCAGACAGAAAGUAGCGAAAGGCAUGCAUUAACGAGACAGCUCCAUGUGGAAAGCCUUUUACUUCACCCCAGAAGCCAUCAUCCAGCAGAU